rnacentral:rRNA from 1 species
UAACGCGUGGGUAACCUGCUUUUUNCUGGGGGAUAGCAGCUGGAAACGGCUGGUAAUACCGCAUAAGCGCACAAUGUUGCAUGACAUGGUGUGAAAAACUCCGGUGGUAUAAGAUGGACCCGCGUCUGAUUAGCUAGUUGGUGAGAUAACAGCCCACCAAGGCAACGAUCAGUAGCCGACCUGAGAGGGUGACCGGCCACAUUGGGACUGAGACACGGCCCAGACUCCUACGGGAGGCAGCAGUGGGGAAUAUUGCACAAUGGAGGAAACUCUGAUGCAGCGACGCCGCGUGAGUGAAGAAGUAAUUCGUUAUGUAAAGCUCUNUCNUUNGGGAAGAUAGUGACGGUACCUGACUAAGAAGCUCCGGCUAAAUACGUGCCAGCAGCCGCGGUAAUACGUAUGGAGCAAGCGUUAUCCGGAUUUACUGGGUGUAAAGGGAGUGUAGGUNGCCAUGCNAGUCAGAAGUGAAAAUCCGGGGCUCAACCCCGGAACUGCUUUUUGAAACUGUAAGGCUGGAGUGCAGGAGGGGUGAGUGGAAUUCNUAGUGUNGCGGUGAANUGCGUAGAUAUUAGGAGGAACACCAGUGNCGAAUGCGGCUCACUGGACUGNAACUGACACUGAGGCUCGAAGNGNGGGGAGCAAACAGGAUANAUNCCCUGUNAGUNCACGCCGUAAANNAUNNAUACUAGGUG